GGACCAUUGUGUAACAGGAAUGGUUCUCUCAGAACUGACUCAGGAAAUGGGUCUGGUGAGUGUCUUUUUUCCUUCUGCAAGGGAUGCUGGGACACGGGGAACUGUGGGAUACUGGAACUCCCUGUGCUGGCUUUGGCACGGAUAUUCUCCGGGUCCAGACUGAAAAUACUCCUUCAGGUUGGUGCAUGCCAGGAUGUCUGAAGUCUUGGGAAUAAAAGGUGACAACCGUGUUCUGGAAGCAUUUAUGACCAAAAAUGGUGUUGUCUGAAUUUGUCAGUCCCUGUGACUGCUCUUCUGGCAUUUUCUGUCAUUCCCACUGUUGCACUGGGGUGAGUGAUGUGGUCUGGGCAGUAUCCCUAAAGGUAAGGGGCUGGAAUUAGGCCUGUGUUACAGGUGGCUGUGUGAAGUGUGGAAACUGAACUGUUAAGCUCACACUAACUCUGCACAACCAGUUUAACACACAAAAGACUCCUCCUAAUUCCAUUUGUCACUUAGCUUCCCAGAGUUUGCCCAUGAAGAGAGAAGGGAGAGAAGCCCUAUAGCCAAGAGCCCUUAAAAGAACAUAAAUUAAAUUCCUACUCUGAAUUAGUCUCACGGGGAAUGAACGUGGGAGAAGCCUGCUGGCCUCAUUAGGGCCUAAAGAUGAGUAGGUGAGGGCUGAUCCUUGCGCAGAUUGCCAUUUCUAGAGAGUUGUCUACAGUUACUUGUUUGGGAUCACAACAAAACAAAAUCAAUCCAGGCUUGCAGGAUACCUUUCAGCUGUUGAUCUUUUUCCCUUCUCACAGCAACUUGUGUCUCCUAAACUCACAUAUUCUGGAACAAGUGAGGCAAUGUUACACAUAAUCCCAAUACAGCCCAGGUUCAUUUCCAGGGCAGCUUCAUUCUUUAUCCCAAAUAGGCAGAGGCAGGCAAAACAGUAUAUGAACAGAAAAGAUUGCCAUUUAAAUAUCAUAAACUGCACACGUGAAAGCAUCUAUUUUAAUAUUGUUUUAAAUUUACCAUUUUCUAACUGUUGAAUCUGGAUUUUCUUAUGUGAAUAUUCUUGUAGGGCAGCGAACAAAUGCUGCAGGUUAACAGAGGAAAUAUCAAAAGGAGAAAGGUGUGAAAUGUGGACAUGAACCAGUCUUGGAUACAAGUCGUUUGAAAUCAAUGAUUUGUGGUGUCUGUAGCUCAGUAAAAAUGUGUCCUAGCUCAGGUUUUUGUUCCUGUAGGUCCCAUGAAGUUCCCACGAUGUGAGAUUUCUCUGUGAAAGCCUCAGACCCUGACCCUUCUGAACACAUGCGAAGAUGAGGCCUUUGCUGGCUUGUUCUGGUUUCUUUUCCUGUAGGUGAGGAUGAGGACGAGUCUGAGAAUUUCCUGCUCCCCCCACAGCUUGAUUUAAGGCACCACUCAGAUACUCAGCAGUAGUUUUGAACAAGAAGAAGCAAAGGCAGGUUUAUUUCUAUUGCAGGGGAAGAAACAAUGUGUGGGAAGAGCUGAGAGUGGGGCAGGCAUUCAGCAGCCGCCUGGCACCUCUGCGCCCCUGUGCAUGUGUGUGGCUGUCUGUUCCUGAGUACAUCUGUUUUAUUGGGAAUUCACACAGCGCAGGUACAAAGGCUGUGAAAACUAUCCUAGAUAAACUUUGUACAAAGAUUUGCAAAGGCAUUGGGAUUUCUCCAGUGUUUUGCAGAUCAGGGGACCCCAUUUAAGGCUUAUUUAUAAUCAGAGACAGAUUUUUCUUCAGUGAUAGCUUAUCUGUUCCAUAUUCCCCUUUUCUAUCCUCUUUGUGUAUAUUUACAUAUUUAUUUGGGGGUAUGAGGAGACAUGUAACACACUUGAUAAAACACUGCUGGUUUAAAGUAUUUUUUUUCCAAACAAGAAUUUAUUAUAUAAAUCAAGACUUUAUUAAAUGGCUGGGCAUAUAUGUAUAAAUUGGAACGGGUCUUGAAGUAUUGCACCCUUAAACUGAACAAAGUGAUUAGGAUAACUGAUAGCUAAAUAAGGUUUUUAUGUGCCUGUGGGAGCCAUAUUAGGAUUGAUUUGACAAGGCAGUUCAGCUGUGGCAACAGUCAUAAUAUCUAACACAACAUUAUGUUUUAUUAGUAAAAUCCUUAAGUGUAGCAAGCUGUUUGUGUCAAAACAACAGUAUAUUUUAGGGAAGAAAAAGACUUACUGGAUACAAGGUGCAUCAUCAGGAAUGAUAAUGUAUUGGAGCACUCUUGCAUUAAAGAGAUCUUCUUCUGCCAUCACUGAAUCAAUAGCUAACUGCACACUGGAGUGCUCACUUCAGCUAAACAGGGGCAUUUUGAAGAAAUCCUAACAGUAAUUUUUAAUUUGCUAUUUUUAAAUAUGGUGGCAACUGAAAUACUGCUUCAUAAUAUUUAUCUGCUUUUUUCACAAGGAAAUAAACAGUUGUGCUGGAAGUAUUUGGUAAAUAAUUGGCUGCAGUAUGUGGCUGA